GGUGGAAAAGGCACCUCUGAUGCCGCCCAGGGACUGUGGGUGACCUUUAAAAAGUACAUUCCCAGCCCUCAGCAAGUGGAAAGAGGGGCCUUGAGGCGAGGCGGCUCCCCCAGCGCUAGCUGGGCCCCCCACCCCCACGGCGCCCGGGUCCCAGGUUCGGGGUGGGCGCAAAGGGCGCACAGGCUGGCAAUUUCGCCCGAAUCAGAUAACCUGUUUCCUGGGUCCCCCCCUCCCCCGUUAAAAAAUAGACCAGUGAGGGAUCCUUUAUGAUUCCUCCACCCGCCAGAUCCCACCAGGAGGCAGCGAGGCCCCCUCCCCCCUCCCCGGGUCCUCGGGCCCCUCCGCCCGCAGACUCCUUUGCUCCCCAGCUGGGUGGCGCCACCCCGCAGCCCCAGCCCGACGUGAGCAAAAGCGCCUUCACCUGGGCCAGAAGUUUCUAAGACUUCAUUACCUGGAGAGAGAGAGGGAGUGACAGGGAAGAGGACGAGCAGGGGAAGAGCAGGGGAGAAGCCGACUCCCCCGCGGCUGAGCCGGAGCCUCGGCGCUGGACCUCAGGCCCCCCAGACGGUGACCCGGGGGGGAAGGCGCUGGACCUCAGGCCCCCCAGACGGUGACCCGGGGUGAUGGCGCUGGACCUCAGGCCCCCCCAGACGGUGACCCGGGGUGAAGGCGCUGGACCUUAGGCCCCCCCAGACGGUGACCCGGGGCGAAGGCGCUGGACCUCAGGCCCCCCAGACGGUGACCCGGGGCGAUGGCGCUGGACCUCAGGCGCCCCAGACGGUGACCCGGGGUGAUGGCGCUGGACCUCAGGCCCCCCAGACGGUGACCCGGGGCGAAGGCGCUGGACCUCAGGCCCCCCAGACGGUGACCCGGGGUGAAGGCGCUGGACCUCAGGCCCCGCAGACGGUGACCCGGGGUGAAGGCGCUGGACCUCAUGCCCCGCAGACGGUGACCCGGGGCGAAGGCGCUGGACCUCAGGCCCCCCAGACGGUGACCCGGGGCGAAGGCGCUGGACCUCAGGCGCCCCAGAUGGUGACGGGGGCGGGGGGGCGAAGGCGCUGGACCUCAGGCUCUCCAGACGGUGACCCGGGGGAAGGCGCUGGAGCUCAGGCCCCCCAGAUGGUGACCGAGGCGAAGGCAGACGCUGAACCCACCGCGCCACCCAGGCCCCUGGGCUAGCCCUAAUCGAAGGAAUUGGAAUUGACUGAAGUUACAGGACUGAAAUAAUAUCAUCCUGGGUUUAAUAGGUGGAUACAAACAACGCUUUCAAUUCUCCGUGGAAAGAUCAAGUAAACAUUACUUCCUGGGUGGCAGCUGCCCACGAGCAGGAAGACAAGGAGGAGUCAACCCACUCCAUCAGAUGGAGGAACCUUGGCAGUGUCUUCUUCUAGCUGGCCCCAGAGGAAGGAGGUGCUCACAAGGUCCCGGUUCUGAGGACUCUCUCAAGCUGUCUGUGGACCAGCUGGAGCAGGUUGGCCAGGAAAGUAUACCUGGAAGGGAGUCUGUCGGCUUCCUGUGCUUUGCCAACUCUCCAGAACAUUCAAGGAACGCUGACAUCUGCUGUCCGCACUCAGCUGGAGGGUCACACUCAGCUUCAAGGGAGACAGACCCCUGACCAGGUGUCCUCUGCUGUUCCCUCCCUCGCCAAGAAUACCUCUGACUUCGGGCAAAGUGUUCUAGUUCACCUCCAGCUCUUCCUGCCCCAAGGCCACCUAUAUUCCUAUUGAGCCUGAUGCCACCCUCUGAGAGAGGCAUUGCCUGGCAGUGGAGACGAGACUCCGGUGAAGCCGGAUCAUAAUCCGAGAUCGCAGAGCUCCUUCAGGUUAGCGAUGGACUGAGAACCAGGGCCUUACGCACGUGUAUCAGUUUCAGGAUAUUUCAAGAUUUUUAUUUUCAAGUAAUUUCUACACCAAACAUGGGCUUGAACUUACGACCACGAGAUCAAGAGUAGCAUGCUGUACCAACUGAUCCAGCCAGGUAUCCCUAUUUCAAGAAUGUUAGUUUGCCAUUGUCCAGGAUUUUUAGAUGAGAAAAAGGGUAAAUAUAAAAGAAAAAGCAAAUUCCCCUCGUCACAUCUGGAAAUUUUACAUUUUUCCUUAUAAGCCCUUCCAUCAAGAAUUAUUUAA